UGUGAGUGCAUCUUUCUCUUGGUUUAAGGGCAGCACCUCUGCUGCUAAGAAUAGGGCAGCUGGACCGAGGUGGUGAGCGCCCUGGCUCUGGGCCCCUGCCUGGCCCGGUCCUUGCAGCCCAGCAGCCCAGCUGUCCAACCGCUGAGCUUCGGAAUCUUUCCAGAGCCCUGGAAGCCACGUCACCUGCUUCAGAGGCCUGUGCUUCGGUAAACGAGCUGGCUGCUGGAGCUAACAGGAAAUGAUCCUGGAGCAAGUGUGCAGUUUAUUCUGUGCCAGCAGGACCAGAGGGCUUGCUCACCAGCUCACCCUGAACAGCCUACUCAGUGACUCCCCCAGCUCUGAAGACUGUGAAAUCAGGUCUGUCUUUUGUGUACUGAGUUUGGACCAGUGCUGCCUGCGUGCCCAUGGGGAAGGGGGCAUUCACCUGAGCGUGGAGCCUACCAGCAGCUACACCCCUGAGGAAAAACGACUCUCCAUCUCCCAGGAGCCAUCCGUCAACUGCCAACAGCUUCUCAGCUAGGGCUGAGUACUCAGAAGCCCCUGGCCUUCCAUGUGGCCUGGUGACAGACUUGAUCUUCUGAGAGCUCGUGCAGCUGGCCUGGAACUCACUGUACAGACCAGGCUUGUUCCGGCCUCACAGAGAUCUGCUAACAGAGGCCCCCAGAGUGCUGGGACUAAAGGCAUGCGCCACCAUGCCCAGUCUGCACAUUAACACAUUUCCUGAUGCCACAUCCUGCUGUUUGGAUGGGACCUCAAGUGGCACAGGCCAGAUGUCUUUUGUUGAGAAACUGCUGAAACUAACAGGUUCACAGAACUAAGGUGUUUUGUAUGUGCAUUACUGUAGUUAACAAAACAUUUGCAUAUACUUCAUGUUAUUUGUUCUGUAAAAUUAUCAUGUGAAGAAGCAGCUCUGAGGUGUUUACAUUAUGUGAGACAUGCUAGGGACACGGUGGUGAGCAAAAGGUACAUGGAACUUGUAGUUCAAAACAGGCAGACUUUGAGCCAAUAAUCACACAGUAAUCUAAGAGAUAUACGACAGUCACCUUAUCACGAUGACAAGUGGUAUGGAGAAAUGUGGAGGAGGAGUGUGCUUCGUGUCAGAAGACCCAGGCACACUGCUCUCUAGCUGACAAGCUUGUAGUCUGUAGGGGCAGAGAGGGAGACGGUGUCCAGAUUCCAGUGCCUUUUCCCUUGCUUUGCUGUCUCCAAAGAUGCACUAGGUCAGGAAGUCACAAAGUCAGGAAAAGGACAAGGGAGUAAGGUCAGGAAGCACCAGUGUCUCGGACUGAAUCUAAGGAAGACCCGCACCCUGGGGGUGGGGCUCAGUGUGCAAGAGGCUUUUCUAGAGAGCAGCCCUUCACACUAGGUCGCUGGGGACACCCACCCCAUCAGGAAGUAUCCACCCAAAAGACUAUCAAAGAGGGAGGAAGUGCAAUUCUUUGAUACUCUGUACUACAUAGUAAGAAUUGUUCUGAUAUUGGUAUUUACUGUUCCUUUCUUAUACCAGAGUCAACUCAAACUCAGAGGUUAGAUAACAUUUCCAAAAUUGCACAUUUUGGCAGAACUGGGUAAAAACCCUUCUCUGCCUGACAGCAACCACUGUCUGACCGAUAGCUGACAACCAAGUAAAUCCAGAGCACUAAAGAAAUGACCUUCACUCUCAGAAGACUAUGGCUUUGGGGCAAAUUUGUAUUUCUAAUAUAAGUGUUUUGGGAAGAGACAAACAGGAGUAUUUACCUAAGGAAUUUUCUAGUAUAUGUAAAGAUAAUCACAGAUGUGUGUAAAAUAGAUGCUGCCUUAAGAAUCAGUUUAGCAGUCAAGGUAUGACCUCAUAUGCGCACACACUAACAUAUACAUACACAUAUCCUUCCAUGCAUCCCUUCAUGGUAUAUAUGUGCAUAUACACAUGUACCGUUAUUAACCCUUUUCCCAGGUUCUCCUGAAGUUCACUGGGGUUGUGUUCCAUCAGUUUAGCAACUUUCAAGCCGGAGGGUGGGUAGAGUUAGGAGAAUGACGUAGAGCAAGCACAGAAAUAGAAAACAGUUAUCAUGUAACUUAUUUGCCCCCAAACCCCAUGCUUAUCAAACUUAGAUUCAGCAUUUAUAAGAAUCCUGAUACCAAGAACAUAUCGCAUCCUCUUGUCACCCUGGCAGAUCUGUCUCUAUAAAUUGGAUUUUUGAGUGAAUAUUUUUCCUGAGACUUUAUCCCUCACUACCACAUUGCAUUGAAUUUAUGUAGCUGAGGAUCAGGUCCAAAGCCAUGGUUGCUGUCCUACAGAGCAUGGGACUUACUUACACCGCCAGUACUGAAACCUUGAUGAAACCAUGUGUCCACACAAGGACGUAAGAACAGAUUCCAGGAAAGGCAAACUGCCAGGGAUCACAUGAGUUCUUAAAUACCUGACUGCAAAAAUUAGAGGAACUGGAGUAUAGAGCAAAGAACAUUCUUUAAGAACAAACAAAUAAGCAAACAAAAAACAGAACCAAGAAUAAAGUUUAAAGAAGGGGCUGUGGCUACAGCUCAGUGGUAAUGUUCUCACCUCGUGUGUAAGGCUCUGGGUUCCAUAGGCUCUCCAGCACUAAGAACAAAAACUAAUGCAGAAAAAUUAUAGGCAAGAGGAUUAAAGAUUGGACAAUGGUAAUGAAGUCACCUACCUGGGAGCCUGAAGUUCGGCUCCCACGCUUCACAUGACUACAGAGAGCAGCAGACAAUUGUGUGUGCCAAAAGCCAGGGGAAGGAAUUUGAAAGUUCUAACAAUGAUCAAAUGAUGUGGGGGGAGAUGACACAGUUAACCUGAUCUACAUGUAUUAAACGAUCACAUGGCACACCAUUAAUAAGCAUAAUUUUGGGGUUUUAUGUUUCAGUUACAAAUAAAAAAAUUAGAAAAUCAAUGCUGGCGGUCCAUCUUGGGGCAAAUGAGCACAAGCCAAACAUGGGCAGAAGGGGCUUAUUAUUAAAGUAAUUCAAGGCAGUUUCCCAAAUCGAAGAACAUGUAUUUUUAAAUGAUUCAGGCAUCAAGCAGGAUGAAUGAAUUAAACAGAACAGAAACAUCCCUGUCGUGCUGUGAUGAAUAGUCUCAGAGAACACAGUUCUUGUAGGAACUCGGAAGGAGAUCAUCUCCACAGCUAGCCAAGGUCACCAAGCCUUCGGGAGGAAGUGACGUUUAAUCCAGAAUUCCGUGCUGUCAGUCAGGCUGCCAGGCAGCUUGGUGAAAGAACGAAGCAGUUCUAUAAGGCACCAAAAUGCAUCAUCUACGAACGCUUCCUGCUGAAGGUCCCGGAAGAGACGCGCCGCGGGUAGAAUGAGGUCUUCGGAAAACCAGGCUGGAAGAGCUGGAAAGCCCCAGUGCAGGGCCACAAGACCUCAGCCUAACAUUUGCAGACAGCACACCUUGUGCAGCUGGGGGUUUCGCACUUUUGUAAAGGGACAUUGGUUAAGAAAAAGACCCCUUUGGAAAUAUGAUUUUUUCUUCAGUGUUUUUCGAACAGUAUUACAAAAAGAAAGAAAAUUAAAAAUACAUUAAGAUCUUACUAACUUUGGGAUAAAAUGGCUUCUGGUUGGGGGGUAGCAGAAACAAAACUUGGUUAACACAGAAAAUGUAUAAUAACUGAAAGAUUCACACAGUUUGGUAUUGACACACAGCUGUAAAACAUAAGCCAUUUCUUCAC